UACAGAGGUGGCAAGCGUUGUUCGGAAUUACUGGGCGUAAAGGGCGCGUAGGCGGUCCGAUAAGUCCCGUGUGAAAUCCCUCGGCUCAACUGAGGAACCGCACGGGAAACUGCCGGGCUUGAGUUCGGGAGAGGGAAGCGGAAUUCCGGGUGUAGCGGUGAAAUGCGUAGAUAUCCGGAGGAACACCGGUGGCGAAGGCGGCUUCCUGGACCGACACUGACGCUGAGGCGCGAAAGCUAGGGGAGCAAACGGGAUUAGAAACCCUCGUAGUCC
rnacentral:rRNA from 1 species